rnacentral:rRNA from 1 species
GACGUAGGGCGCGAGCGUUGUCCGGAUUUAUUGGGCGUAAAGAGCUCGUAGGCGGCUUGUCGCGUCGAAUGUGAAAACCCACAGCUCAACUGUGGGCUUGCAUUCGAUACGGGCAGGCUCGAGUUCGGUAGGGGAGACUGGAAUUCCUGGUGUAGCGGUGAAAUGCGCAGAUAUCAGGAAGAACACCCGUGGCGAAAGCGGCUCUCUGGAACGGUACUGACGCUGAGACGCGAAAGCGUGGGGAGCGAACAGG